AGGACGAACGCUGGCGGCGUGCUUAACACAUGCAAGUCGAGCGGUAAGGCCUUUCGGGGUACACGAGCGGCGGACGGGUGAGUAAUGCCUAGGAAUCUGCCUAGUGGUGGGGGAUAACGUUCGGAAACGGACGCUAAUACCGCAUACGUCCUACGGGAGAAAGCGGGGGACCUUCGGGCCUCGCGCCAUUAGAUGAGCCUAGGUCGGAUUAGCUAGUUGGUGAGGUAAUGGCUCACCAAGGCGACGAUCCGUAACUGGUCUGAGAGGAUGAUCAGUCACACUGGAACUGAGACACGGUCCAGACUCCUACGGAGGCAGCAGUGGGGAAUAUUGGACAAUGGG
rnacentral:rRNA from 1 species